UAGGCUCAGCAUUGGGCUCCGAGGCCAGGGAACCAGAUAUACAUCCCGAGGCCUCCAGAGCCAGCCCCCAGCUGCAAUCGGAGAGGGGACAACAGUCACCGGACAAAGAUCACGGUCAGGGCUGGGUGGACUGGCCAGGCCCCUCCCCCAGACUUGGCCAUGUUCCUCACCGGGACCACUCAGCCCACUGUGAAGGUAAAAACAAAAGUUGACCCAGUUAAAGAAAAACAUUAGGUGAAUAAUAGUGCCAGUUUAAAUCUCGGAUGAGGGAGGUGGCCAUCGUGAGGAUGGAUGCAUGCAACCUCGUCUGACAAGUGCAGGGUGGAUGGUGCAAGGUAUUGGACAGAUGGGGACACCAAAGGGGCUCGAGGCCAGAACAUCUGGGGAAGAUCUGACCACUUGAAGUGCCCACUGGGAACAGCUGGCUACCCUCCCUGGCCCGGAGGUGAGUGGUGGUGAUGGCAGACCCCCAUCCCCGUGCUCUGGAGUGACGCAGCUACAAAACACGGAACGCCAGGACUGACGGCAGCGGCCAGAAGCCGGGAGAGGCAGGCAGGGCUCUCCCCUGGAGCCUCCAGAGGGAGCACGGCCCUGCCCACACCUGGAUCUCACACUUCCGGCCUGUAGAGUCGUGGGACAUUACAUUCUUGUUGGUUUAAGCCACCCAGUUAGUGGCACUUGGCUGCGCAGCCCUGGGAAACUAGUAUACCCACCUGGACCAAUCACUGUCACGGUGACGAGGACCCUUAUUUUAUCCAAAAGCAGGAGACCGGCUUUCUCGGUGUCCCCUCGGCCCACUGGCCUGCUGCCUGCAGCUGACCCAUGUGCUCAUGUGGGGUCUGUGUUGGUUAACUUCAUGUGUCACCUCCCGCCUGAUGGCCUCCCACUGACACGCUGGCCUCGGGGUCUCUGGUUUGACUUGUCAGCCUCCAAAACCACAUGAGUGAAUUCCUUACAAUAAACAAACAAAUAAGCACACGCA